UACCUACGGGACGCAGCAGUGGGGGAUAUUGGACAAUGGGGGAAACCCUGAUCCAGCGAUGCCGCGUGAGGGAAGAAGGUUUUCGGAUUGUAAACCUCUGUGGAGGGGGACGAUAAUGACGGUACCCCUUUAGGAAGCCACGGCUAACUACGUGCCAGCAGCCGCGGUAAUACGUAGGUGGCGAGCGUUGUCCGGAAUUACUGGGGGUAAAGGGAGUGUAGGCGGGGAAACAAGUCGGAAGUGAAAACUAGGGGCUUAACCCAUAGCCUGCUUUUGAAACUGUUUUUCUUGAGUGA
rnacentral:rRNA from 1 species